UACUACAAUUUUGUUUUUGUUUCAAAUAAAAGCUUAAAUAUUAUUUACAUUUGAUAGUUAUUUUCGUGUUAGUCAGUGUUCUAGUACUACAACUGAAAUGUGAUCCACUUUUUCAGAUGAUUCGGUUGACAUUUCAUACAUGGUGACGGCUCGCGGUACAGUUCAGCUGGUGCUGAACGGAUUCCCCUUCACCAAGCUAAACGUUCGAAAGAACAUGAUAUUUUGGGCAUGCUGUCAAGCGAAGCCACUCAACUGCACAGCGCGGAUAACAACCUAUCGAGGAUCGAAGGAGGGUUCAUUCGCGAUGCGUGGUGAACACAAUCACCAGAUAAUCAAGGAACGGCGCAAAGCUGGCGACCGGAAGAAGCUUCUGGAGGAGCGAGAACGGGAAAGAGCGCAGUGUCAGAAGCGACGGAAGCAUUCCUACACCGAAGUCUAUGAAUAAAGUUGCGAAUAGUUUAAAGUUAUUUGUUUUUCUUUUGAAUUUUAUCUUUUGUCAGUGAUUUUUUUUUAUUGACAGACAAUUUGUUCUUUCAGGUGACCCAACGGAUCGAGACAUCAAGUUUAUGAUUUGUGGAAAGUCGCGCAAGCUGUUCAUCGAUGGGUUCAGCUUCACGCGGAAGGUGCUGCGAACAAACUACACCAUCUGGGAGUGCUGCCAGGCGAGGCCGUUGGGCUGCAAGGCGGGCGCCACAAGCUACCAGGACGCCAGCAGGGUGACCGUCCGGGGAGAGCACAAUCACGAAAUCGUAACGGAGCGGCGAAAGCUAGGCCAGCGAAAGAUCCUCAUGGAGGAGAGAAGACUGGAGCGGAUCAGCCGGAAGGCAACGUGCUGACAAAAAUACAAAUUUUAUUUUUAUAAAGAUCUGUUGUUUCUUUGAUGUUAGAAAAGAUGAAAUGAUUUUGGAGGCCCAUAAUUCUAAUACUUUUGGCAUUAUUUCAGAUCUUCCAAAAUCGUUCUUCGUAAUGAGCAACCAAGGACUUCAACUGUCCCUUGACGGACACGUUUUCACGAAGGAAAGCACCGAAAGCGAUUCCAUCCAGUGGAUUUGUGCUCAAUCAAAGACACUCGAAUGCAAUGUUCGCGCGAGAACCGCUCGGGAUAAAACCCGUAAACUGCUUCACAUUCAAGGAUUCCACAAUCACAAGAUAAUUACGGAACGACGAAAAAGCGAAUCGAUCAAAGCGCUAGUUGAGCAGCGCAAGAAGGAGCUCGAAGAGCGGAGAAUGCGACUUUCUGGCGUUCAAUAACUUUGACAAUAAACAAGAUUUGCAAAAUACACCCAUAGUCUGAUUGUAGUACUAGAUUAUCUUUAUUUUCACGUUUUCUUUUGGUAUGGUUUCAGUUUUGCAGCGCCGUUGCUUUGACUAACCCCUUCUUCCAAUUGUGUAUAUUUUCGCACGCCUCACGUACAUCAGAAAAUGGAAACGAACCGCAGGUGCAGUACACGAUUAGCAGUCGUGGAACGCCCCUUCUACUGCUGGAUGGAUUCACCUUUACCAGGGAUAAAGUACGCAACAGUGUUACCUCAUGGAGAUGCUCGCAGCAUCGCACGCUUAGCUGCAAGGCACGCGCCAACGCCGUCCGCGACCGUAGUGGCCAAAAGAAAAUCGUUAUCAAAUACUCGCACAAUCAUCCGCUUGUUUGUGAGCGUAGAAAGAAAAGUUCCUCUAAAUAAAUAUACGCGCUACUUCUAGUACCUCAGCAAUAGCUAGUCAAAAUCUGCGCCUUUCAAUUCGUGUUUGGUUUUGUUUGCUUGUUUUUAAAUUAAAUUUAACGAGUAACAACUAACUAAAGCAUUUUCCGUUUAACAGUGACGUACUCGGUUAGCCGACGUGGGAGGCAGCAGAUAUGUUUCGAGGGACACAGCUUCGAGGUGGAAAAGGUGCGUCGUGGUUCAACAAGCUGGCGGUGCUGCCAGGCGAAACCGCUCAAAUGCAAAGCAAGAAUCAUCGAGCGGUCUGUCAAUGAGAUUCCGGAAUAUGAAAUUGUACGAUCCGAGCACAACCAUGAAAUUAUAACUCAGCGGAGAGUUCGUGGAGCGCUAAAACGUGCUAGUUAUCUGAGAGUUCAGCAAUUUGCAAGAGAAUAAACUAUUAUUUUAUAAAAAAAUAUUACUUUCAUAUAGAAAUGCAGUUUCAUACAAUUCUUGAAGAAAUUUUAAUUCUUUGCAUAUUUUUUCAUCAACAGAAUUCCAUAGCACGGAUCACAAAGUGCAGUACGUUAUGAGCGCUCGUGGUGGCCUGCAACUCUCCAUCGAUGGCUAUCGGUUUACACGGGAACGAUUAAAAGGCAGCAGCAUCGAGUACCGUUGCGUCCAUUACAAACCACUCGGCUGCAAGGCACGCGCUCGUUCCGACAAAAGCAUCUCCCAGCUGCGCGUCAUCGAAAGCGUGCACAACCAUCCGCUGCAAAUGGAUCGCCGCGGCCCGGGUGCCCUGCGGAAGCUGCUCGAGCAUCGCAAGGCGGAAAACCGACAGAAACCUCGUGCCCGAACAGUGAAGAAAGAAAUACAAUAAAACGUUUAAACUCACCUGA